CACUUUUCCUCAAUAUAAGUGGUCAUCGGUUGAUUUGGACUCCUCGGUGGCAACUGUUUCAAAAGAGAUCAUAUCUGCACCCAGAAUAAGCCAUUGAUGAGAUAUACUUGCAUUUACCCUUUCUUGAUCACUGUCAUUGGGUGAAAGAAUCCUUUUGUCACCAAUAAUGGGGUUGUUGUAAAUAGGGUCAUCACACUGAACAUCUACUAAGACAACAGUUGUGGCAUGUUCUAUACCACCAUUCACAUGCUUACAAUCCGAAUAUCAUUGUCAUCACCCAUGUCAUCCUUUAAACAAUCAUUAUGCCCGCCAACAUAAUCAU
rnacentral:lncRNA from 1 species